GAAUGCUGACAUAAGUAACGAUAAAGCGGGUGAAAAGCCCGCUCGCCGGAAGACCAAGGGUUCCUGUCCAACGUUAAUCGGGGCAGGGUGAGUCGACCCCUAAGGCGAGGCCGAAAGGCGUAGUCGAUGGGAAACGGGUUAAUAUUCCCGUACUUGGUGUUACUGCGAAGGGGGGACGGAGAAGGCUAUGUUGGCCGGGCGACGGUUGUCCCGGUUUAAGCGUGUAGGUGUGUGUUCCAGGUAAAUCCGGUUCACUUUAACACUGAGGCGUGAUGACGAGGCACUACGGUGCUGAAGUAACAAAUGCCCUGCUUCCAGGAAAAGCCUCUAAGCAUCAGGUAACAUCAAAUCGUACCCCAAACCGACACAGGUGGUCAGGUAGAGAAUACCAAGGCGCUUGAGAGAACUCGGGUGAAGGAACUAGGCAAAAUGGUGCCGUAACUUCGGGAGAAGGCACGCUGACACGUAGGUGAAGUGAUUUACUCAUGGAGCUGAAGUCAGUCGAAGAUACCAGCUGGCUGCAACUGUUUAUUAAAAACACAGCACUGUGCAAACACGAAAGUGGACGUAUACGGUGUGACGCCUGCCCGGUGCCGGAAGGUUAAUUGAUGGGGUCAGCGCAAGCGAAGCUCCUGAUCGAAGCCCCGGUAAACGGCGGCCGUAACUAUAACGGUCCUAAGGUAGCGAAAUUCCUUGUCGGGUAAGUUCCGACCUGCACGAAUGGCGUAAUGAUGGCCAGGCUGUCUCCACCCGAGACUCAGUGAAAUUGAACUCGCUGUGAAGAUGCAGUGUACCCGCGGCAAGACGGAAAGACCCCGUGAACCUUUACUAUAGCUUGACACUGAACAUUGAGCCUUGAUGUGUAGGAUAGGUGGGAGGCUUUGAAGUGUGGACGCCAGUCUGCAUGGAGCCGACCUUGAAAUACCACCCUUUAAUGUUUGAUGUUCUAACGUGGACCCGUUACCCGGGUUGCGGACAGUGUCUGGUGGGUAGUUUGACUGGGGCGGUCUCCUCCUAAAGAGUAACGGAGGAGCACGAAGGUUGGCUAAUCCUGGUCGGACAUCAGGAGGUUAGUGCAAUGGCAUAAGCCAGCUUGACUGCGAGCGUGACGGCGCGAGCAGGUGCGAAAGCAGGUCAUAGUGAUCCGGUGGUUCUGAAUGGAAGGGCCAUCGCUCAACGGAUAAAAGGUACUCCGGGGAUAACAGGCUGAUACCGCCCAAGAGUUCAUAUCGACGGCGGUGUUUGGCACCUCGAUGUCGGCUCAUCACAUCCUGGGGCUGAAGUAGGUCCCAAGGGUAUGGCUGUUCGCCAUUUAAAGUGGUACGCGAGCUGGGUUUAGAACGUCGUGAGACAGUUCGGUCCCUAUCUGCCGUGGGCGCUGGAGAACUGAGGGGGGCUGCUCCUAGUACGAGAGGACCGGAGUGGACGCAUCACUGGUGUUCGGGUUGUCAUGCCAAUGGCACUGCCCGGUAGCUAAAUGCGGAAGAGAUAAGUGCUGAAAGCAUCUAAGCACGAAACUUGCCCCGA
rnacentral:rRNA from 2 species